rnacentral:lncRNA from 1 species
GGGGGCGCGCCGCGACGGGGCGGGUGGAGCAGCCUGGUUUGGGGAAUUAGCACCAAGGACGGGCGCGCGCGCAGGUCCCCAGCACAUCUGGGCGAGAGCGGCGCCGCUGGAGCCGAGGGGGGCGCCGAGCGCAGAUCUGGAGCAGCAGAGCCACGGCGCAGCUGGGGCCCUUCGAGGCGCUCGGGGCGCACAUCUGGGACCUCAAGCGGGGGCCGUGCCGCGCGCAGCUGGACCAGGGGAGGGGGGCGGCGGCUGCACAGCUGGACCGAAGGGGGCGGGGUCGGCCCUGGGCGACCCGCUGAGGGGAGGGCCGCGGGCCGCCGGGGACUGGAGCAUGGGACGGCGCGCCUGAAGGAGCAGGAAGGGGAAGGAGGCCUGGGACCCCGAAAAGAGAAGGGGAGAGCGAGGGGACGAGAGCAGAGGAGGAAGAUGCAACUGACUCGCUGCUGCUUCGUGUUCCUGGUGCAGGGUAGCCUCUAUCUGGGGCCGUCUCUCCUGAGUGGAGAUGUGAGACACACACCCCUCCUCCAGACCACCCUCCGCUCCCCACCCUGGAGGCUUGAGACUGCUGGCACUGGAGCAGCCCACCAAUGGACACCCACCGUGUGCCGUUCAGCCUCCCACAGUGCUGUGGAGACUGCAGGAAGGAGGAGGAAGCAAUGGGGCCAGAGGCCCUGGGCGCCCUCCCCACCUCCCCUGGCUGAACUCUCAGCAGGCACUGGGGGCACUUUGACCCCCCUACUGCUCCUCUCCUCCUGUGGAGAGCCAGAUGCUGGCGACAGCUGGAGGGCCCGGCCUUCCUGGCACACAGUUCUGCCUGCACCAGGGAUGGAUUCAUUUUAAUAACUUCAUUUCACCCUCAUGCACACUCUGCCGCCUCAUCCCUCCUUUCGACCUUCCCCAGUAGCCUGGCUGCUCUCCUCAGCUAGGACUUUGCUAACAGAUUUCCUCCCAAACCUUAAUUCUUUGGAAUAGCCCUCUGGUCCCUACUGUUCUUGCCAGAUACUUCUGUGCCCGCUUGGUCCUCACAAGGGCAAGGGGUCCAUCCAACUUCCUCUGGCUAAGAAGACGUCACCUCUGCCCCACUGGCGAGCAGUGUCCCCAUGGUGAUGCCCCCCCACCAUCACGACGAAGUGCGCUGGCCUCCCACUCUUGCCAUGCACACACUCACAGGAGAUUCCUCUGAAGAAACCUGUCCCCCACUCUGCCCAGACCCCAAAGGGCCAGGUCCUACUCACACUCCAACCCUUUGACCUUCCCCAUCCACUGCCCUUCAAGGCAGUCUGAAAUGCCCUCAGACCGUUUAGCAGUCCCGUGGUCCUCCACCCUAACCCCUCAGCCCAGCUGGGGGCUGCCGG